AAAUAUUUUCAAAUCAAUUACUUACAUAAUCAUCAACCGAGUACGUCAGCUCGCCAUCGUCAUAGAGAACAAACCAUCUUCUUUGCCAGCGCUGUAAUUAAAAAAAGAAGAAAAAUAUUACUAAAUAGCACUAAUAUGUCUAUAGCGAUCGGUCGAUGAGAGUGAUGAACUCUAAAACAAAUUUGCAUUGUCGCUUGCAAUUUGCAAUACGAAAGGUGGGACGAGAAAUGGUGAGGAAAGACAAGAUCGCAGACGUUGUCAUUCCCAUGAAAGGCAACCAAGCCCCAACGCCUUCGCCUCCGCCUUCGCCUUUGCAUUGGCACUGAUUCGGUGUGGAUCUGGAUCUGGAUCUGGAUCUGUAUCUGAAUAAGAAUCUGAAUCUGAAUCGGAAUCUGGAUCUGAUUUUCAUUGUUAUUGUUGGUUGCCAGAAUCAUAACAAACGUGCAACAGCCACAAGGGUGUAGGACUCAACGUGUGUCUGAUAUUUAUGCAAAUUGUUAAAAGUCAAAGCAAAUUAAGCUCAACCUUCAGCGAAGAUGACGUUGAAUUCUGUUGCCCCAUUGCGUUGCAAGUUGCUAGAUGCAAGUUGCAAGUUGCAAGUUGCACGUUGCACCUUCCUGCAGUUGAUUUCUCCUCAGUGGAGAGUGUGAGUGGAGUGCUGAGGUGUGUCAGGCGUAUUAUUUAUAAGGCAGAGAAGAAGGCAUCUCGCACGCGAAUAAUCAAGCCUCAGCACCAAUUUUUAGUUUAUGGUCUAGUUCUUUAUAUGUUGUGUAAUUCUUUUUUCACGUUGGCUAUUUUGCGAUCGAAUUCAUAAAUAUGGAAUCAAAUCUAUGCAGUGAAUGUAGGAACUAACGAAGUGAGAGGUAACAACAUGGUUUUGGGCGAUCAUAAGCUAUAUACAAAUACAUAUCUGCAAUAACUUGGUAAAUACGAAACAAAAUAAACUGCAUUUGAAUAAAAUAUAUAAUUAUUUACGUUUAGCAGAAAAUCAAAUGAGACAGUCGCUCUGCGGUUUCCCAAACCCCAAAGCAAAGUCAAGCGUGCAGGAAACCUGAUCAGAUCGCGGGAAAGAUUCUCUGCACUCAAUUACGUCAAACCAGGUUGAUUUCCUCCUUUUCGCUGUCGAGAGAUUGGCAAAUGGG